UUUGGAUGAAUGAAAAAGCAAGUUUGUGAAACGCGGUUUCUGUCUCCAAAACACAGUCUUCCUGAAGCUGAGAUUCAGAGCUUCUACGGCAGAUGAAAACCACGUUUCAGCCUUUAAUUUCUCAAGUGGCAGGUACUUACCUAAUUACCUCUAAAUUCAAGCCUUCAAAUUCUCUUUCUCACAGUUUUCUUCCUUUUCAUUACUUCACAUCACUUCAACCUUAAAUUUUCUACUAAUUGUGAAGAUUUUGCAUAUUCAAGCUUUCAAUUUUCUUCAGCUUUUCCCCUAUUUUUUUUAUUUUUAUUUUUUCAGAUUUCGUGGUUAAUCUCAUUACUCAUGGUAGAUGUGUUGGUUGGGUGAAUUUAUUCCUUCAGCUUUUCCCUUAUAUAUGAUGCUUAUGAGCUACUUGUGAGAAUCAUUCCAUUGCUCUUCCAAGACCCGAAAGUAAAUACAUAUUCAUUUUGUUUUUUUUUUUUUUUUGCUUUGAUUACUUGCUUCAUAAUUGUUAAUUUCUAUUUCUCUUUGCUCUAAUUGUUACAAGUUUUACAUUAAUUUUUUCAUCCUACAUCAAUGAAUUGUAUGUGUUUGAUAAAUAGUCUCAAACAAAAAAUAAUUUUCUUAUAUUUAUAUGUUUAUGUUGAUGAAUCUUCUUGACCUGUAGAGGUGAUUGUUCUGUUAUUAUUGAUAUGUUUAUGUUUAUUAUUUUUUCUUAUGUUUUUGUGUUUUUAGCAAGGAGUGUAUUGUUUUUGUUUAAGGUAUUUGGUUUUUCAAAGUAAUUGAACUUGAAUGAAAUAAUGUAAGAAAGAAACUUAUAGCUUCAAGCCAUUGCUGUAAUGCUAAUUUUUGUGCUUUUCAUUCUUAGAUAAACCUUUUCCAACCUUUACAAAAAAGAGUUACAUUUAGCACAAAGU
rnacentral:lncRNA from 1 species